rnacentral:tRNA from 1 species
UGCCGAAUCGUCUAACGGUAGGACAGCGGACUCUGGAUCCGUACGUGAGGGUUCAAAUCCUUCUUCGGCAGCCA